CCUACGUGUGGCAGCAGUGAGGAAUAUUGGUCAAUGGGCGCGAGCCUGAACCAGCCAAGUAGCGUGAAGGAUGACUGCCCUACGGGUUGUAAACUUCUUUUAUCAAGGAAUAAAGUGAGGCACGUGUGCCUUUUUGUAUGUACUUUAUGAAUAAGGAUCGGCUAAAAUCGUGCCAGCAGCCGCGGUAAUACGGAGGAUCCGAGCGUUAUCCGGAUUUAUUGGGGUUAAAAGGGGCGUAGAUGGGUUGUUCAGUCAGUUGUGAAAGUUUGCGGCUCAACCGUAAAAGUGCAAUUGAUACUGGCAGCCUUGAGUACAGGUGAGGUAGGCGGAAUGCGUGGUGUAGCGGUGAAAUGCUUAGAUAUCACGAAGAACUCCGAUUGCGAAGGCAGCCUACUAAACUGCCACUGACAUUGAUGCUCGAAAGUGUGGGUAUCAAACAGGAUUAGAUACCCCAGUAGUC
rnacentral:rRNA from 1 species